AUUGAACGCUGGCGGCGUGCCUAACACAUGCAAGUCGAGCGGUAACAGGUGUAGCAAUACAUGCUGACGAGCGGCGGACGGGUGAGUAACGCUUGGGAAUCUGCCUGUUAGUGGGGGACAACCCGGGGAAACUCGGGCUAAUACCGCAUACGCACUACGGUGGAAAGCCGGGGACCGCAAGGCCUGGCGCUAACAGAUGAGCCCAAGUCGGAUUAGCUAGUUGGUAGGGAACGGCCUACCAAGGCGACGAUCCGUAACUGGUCUGAGAGGACGACCAGUCACACCGGAACUGAGACACGGUCCGGACUCCUACGGGAGGCAGCAGUGGGGAAUAUUGGACAAUGGGGCAACCCUGAUCCAGCGACGCCGCGUGUGUGAAG
rnacentral:rRNA from 1 species